UAAUCCUGUGUGUAAAUCAGUUAGUCAGUAUUUACGUGUGCCUACAUGUUUACAAUGAUUUUCCUCUGCCUCUGACAGAUGAUACCACAUCGCAGGAGGGCAAAGAGGAGGAGAGAGGCUGCCCAAGAGCAGCUUCUGAUAAGCUCCCAGGACAUGGAGGAGGAGGAGGACAUGGAUGUCGCUGCUGCUGCUCCUGCUGCUCCUGCUGCUGCUGCUGCUGCUGCUGCAGAGGUGGCACUAGAGGACGUUUCUGAGGAGGAAAGUGUGUGUUUUUCCCGGGUCAGACGGUGGCCUUGCGACACCUGGAGUCCCCCUGGAUGGUUGGCAGCGGACGGUCCAACGUGAUGAGGAAGAUAAAAAUGCCUCCUGCCAUGGAUGAGUGUGUAUUCAGGACACAAUAACUGCAGUGUCUGUGUAAUGCAAUGUAAUGUGAGUGAGUAUUAUAACAUGUUAAAUGAUAUGUUGUUGCAGAAGAAUAUUUGGAAAGCUUCGGCCGGGUGCACGAGGGCACCAAUCCGACGCGCAAGAUGAUAGAGAACGCCAGGUCAAAGGUCAGCCGGGUGAAAGCGUUCCUUAUGUAUAUGGGGAACAAACACCCGAGAUUGUCCGACUGGAUGUUUCUCAACAACGCUGGAAAACUCAAAAUGUGGUGUGAUAAGCUGCUAAAAACUAUGAAGGUGACCACGGUGGAGUUCUACCUCAAGAACAACCUUCAAUUUUUGACCUUCAUGCAGCAGACUCCACCGCGGUCAUCCAGGCUGACAAAAGCAAACAUGGUCGGUGUCGUCAGGGACAUGAAGGUGGCCCUGAAGAGCCUCAAGAGGUUGGUUGUGGUCCACCAAAUGGCAGUAAAGAGGACGAAAUACUCCGAGCUGCCAGGAGGUGACGCCAUCGCCAGCUUCGUAGAUGGGGCUACAUUGAAAAUCCCUCAGCUGCUCGACGAGCUGGAGGAGGAGUACACAACCAACCUCCGGUUCCGGCUGUACGGCUUCAUGUGUGGCUACUGGAGCUGUGUCUUUGGUCACAGGCCCGGUGUGUACUCCAACAUGACCGACACGGAGUUCAGGCAGGCCCUGGCCAGUGGUGGAGAGCAAGGCUACUUGAUACAUGUCAAGGAGCACAAUACAAACAAGUCAUUUGGGGAGGCCCAGCUGUUCCUCACAGAUGUGGAGUUUGGGUGACUGCAACAUUAGAUGGCCAUCAAGACCAAAGUCCCUAAGAAGGAGAGGAACACCUUUGUGAUGUUCACCAAAGGGACGGGUCCCUGUAAAAAUCUCAACAGCUGCCUGAGGAUGGCCUGGGCGGAGCUGAGAAUAGGCGGCAAUGUCAGCUUCACCCUUAUUCGGACGGCACUUGCACACUACGUAAGUAAAUUACACAAUUAAAUCCAUGUGUAUGUAUGAAAAAAGAGCUUUCUGGAGGUAGACUGUGGUUACUGUUAUUCAUUUCUCUGCAAUGUUUCAAUGUUUUUCAGGCAAAAAAGACCACGGACGUCACUGCCAGGAAGAGGGUGGCAGACUUUAUGUGCCACGAUGUCACCACGGCGGACUGCUUCUACGCCAGGUGCCCCGAUGUCAAGGAGGCUAUGGCGAUUCGGAGUCUCAUCCGAGACAGCCUCAGGACGGAGGAGAGGGCCGGACCAUCUACUGCCGUGGUGGCAUCAUUUACUCCCCUGGGAGGAGGGACCUGUGUGGAGGAGAGCAGCAGCAGCAGCAGCGAGGAGGAGGAGGAGGAGGACAAGAAGGAGAAGAAGAGGGUGGCUGCUGCGACGAGUGGGGAGGAGAGCAGCAGCACCGAGGAGGAGGAGAAGCAGCAGCAGCAGCAGACAGAGGAGGAGAGGCCGCAGCAGCAGCAGACAGAGGAGGAGAGCAGCAGCAGCAGUGAGGGGGACGAAAAGCUCUGCAGUUCUCAAGUAGCACAAGUUGUGCUUAGUCCGAUCCACAAUCGGUUGAGAUCGAGAAAAGAAUGAGUGUGUAAAUAGACUGUUUUCGUUCGUGUUUAAAGUGUACAUAUGUUGUUUUUUGUGUUUGUGUUCAAAUAAAUGGUUGAAUUUGAAUUGCUCUUGUGUUCAUUUCUACUUUUUAGCCACAAUGCUAAGUGCUAGCUGUCUAAAAAUAUUCAGACAAUAUACAACACUCCAUAUGAACCUAGAAAAGCAGUUUCAAAAAGAUCAGAGUAGU
ensembl:lncRNA uncharacterized LOC115003935